AUCAGGUAUAGUCGUGUGUACCUGUGGUCCCCGCUACUUGGGAGACAGAGGCAAGAGGAUGGUUUGAGCCCAGGAGUCUGGGACCAGCCUGGGCGACAUAGCGAGACCUCAUCUCAA
rnacentral:sRNA from 1 species